CCGAUUGACUAAGGUUUCCAGAGGAAGGCUCGUCCGCUCUGGGUUAGUCGGGUCCUAAGCUGAGGCCGACAGGCGUAGGCGAUGGAUAACAGGUUGAUAUUCCUGUACCACCUAGUAUCGUUUUAAUCGAUGGGGGGACGCAGUAGGAUAGGCGAAGCGUGCUGUUGGAGUGCACGUCCAAGCAGUAAGGCUGAGUGUUAGGCAAAUCCGGCACUCAUAAGGCUGAGCUGUGAUGGGGAGAGGAAAUUGUUUCCUCGAGUCGUUGAUUUCA
rnacentral:rRNA from 1 species